ACGUAGGGUGCGAGCGUUAAUCGGAAUUACUGGGCGUAAAGCGUGCGCAGGCGGUUAUAUAAGUCAGAUGUGAAAUCCCCGGGCUCAACCUUGGAACUGCAUUGGAAACUGUAUAACUAGAGUGUGGAAGAGGGGGGUGGAAUUUCACGUGUAGCAGUGAAAUGCGUAGAGAUGUGGAGGAACACCGAUGGCGAAGGCAGCCCACUGGGCCAAUACUGACGCUGAUGCACGAAAGCGUGGGGAGCAAACAG
rnacentral:rRNA from 1 species